ACAAAAACUCUAAAGCUUUAGCUUUGUAUUUUAUUUUUAUCCGUGACCAUAUUGUUGAAAAUUUUAAAAAAAGAAGACAGAAUUUCAGCAGAUGCAGUCCUCAAAGUAGCUUAACAUUCUUCUUUUAUGCCCUUAUUAUAGAGCAUUGAGGCAAGAACUCACCACAAAGUGCCUUAUUUGUUAUAUAUUGAGUAAUAUGGAUGGGAGGAGGAAAAAUAUGAAACAAAACAUAAAACAGGUUCAGCCCUGCAUGUUGAUUAAUGACCUCUGCAUUCGAUGAGCUGAAAUGCUGCAAGCAUCAGCUGCGAG
rnacentral:lncRNA from 1 species